rnacentral:piRNA from 1 species
UGGAAGACUUGGAGACUCUCAGAAGUUGAU